AUUGAACGCUGGCGGCAGGCCUAACACAUGCAAGUCGAGCGAGUGGCGGACGGGUGAGUAAUGUCUGGGAAACUGCCUGAUGGAGGGGGAUAACUACUGGAAACGGUGGCUAAUACCGCAUACCAUCGGAUGUGCCCAGAUGGGAUUAGCUAGUAGGUGGGGUAAAGGCUCACCUAGGCGACGAUCCCUAGCUGGUCUGAGAGGAUGAUCAGCCACACUGGAACUGAGACACGGUCCAGACUCCUACGGGAGGCAGCAGUGGGGAAUAUUGCGCAAUGGGGGCAAGCCUGACGCAGCCAUGCCGCGUGUAUGAAGAAGGCCUUCGGGUUGUAAAGUACUUUCGGGGGGGAGGCGUUACCCACAGAAGAAGCACCGGCUAACUCCGUGCCAGCAGCCGCGGUAAUUC
rnacentral:rRNA from 1 species